rnacentral:rRNA from 1 species
GACAGAGGGUGCAAACGUUGUUCGGAAUCACUGGGCGUAAAGCGCGUGUAGGCGGCUUCUCAAGUCGGGUGUGAAAUCCCAGGGCUCAACCCUGGAAGUGCAUUCGAAACUGGGUAGCUAGAGUACUGGAGAGGAAGGUGGAAUGCUUGGUGUAGAGGUGAAAUUCGUAGAUAUCAAGCGGAACACCGGUGGCGAAGGCGGCCUUCUGGACAGAUACUGACGCUGAGACGCGAAAGCGUGGGGAGCAAACAGGAUUAGAAACCCCCGUAGUCC